AAAAUCAUUCACAACCCAAAAGCAUUUGAAAUUCAGAGACCUAUACACAAAGUUCUUCACUUUUAGACCAAUAUCUUCUUUUCACAUCACUUUGAGUGUUUGGACUUCAAACUCCAACUUCCGCAUAUAAAAUGCCGAUGUCCCUACCAGUAAUAUAGGCUUAUAUAUGUGAUCAGUCCUUGCAGUUACAACUACUUUUGGUAUUAGUCCGUGUAAUUUUUUUUGUUGCCUUUUGAUCCCUGCGGUUUCAAAGCAUUUUGAUAUUAGUCCCUCCUUACUUCAAAUGUUAAAAAUCUAGAUACAGUUAAUGGAGUGCCACGUGACCCAAUCAAUUAAAGCCACGUGGCAUAGUAAAAAGCAUAACUUUUUUUAUUAUUACUUUUACCAUUGUCAUUUAUUUAUAUAAUUCAUAUUAUUAUUAUUAUUAUUAUUAUUAUUAAUUAUUAAUAAACAAACGAAGAAGAACACGAAGUGUGAUUAUAGAAUCACAAAAAGGAAAAAACCUAACAUAAACAAAUAAAAAAAAGUUUUAAACCCUUUUGCAUGAAGAGAAAUUAAAAUCUAAAAAGAAAAAAAAAAUAUUAAUUUGGGUUUAAUGGCCCAACCCAUAAACAAAUAAAAACCUAACAUUAAGCCCCCACUCCCUAACCCUAGCCGCCGCAUAAUUACUUCUGUUCAAUUUUCUUUCUCUGUUGAGUUAGCAAUUUCCCUGUCAAAAUAAACAAAUUUGCUUCCACCGCUAACAAUCCUUUUCGGCCAUUCCCCGUCACCGUCCGGUCUCCUCUGAUCAUGAAACCACAACCCUUAGACUCAUAUUUUUGUUUCUCGGAUCUAUUUCUUGAUUUUUGUCACCGCCACUUUACAUAUGUUUCCCGGACACACUGUCUUCAACAAAACUCACCACAGUCGCUUCUUCAUGCAUACCACUACCACCACUUUAGUCAAGCUCACAUGCCUUCAUUCUCAGAACCCUAAUCGAAUCCCUCUCACGAAAAUCAUUCUUGAACCCUAAUCUGUAAGCUUAUUCUCGAAUCACUCUCAUGAAGCUUUAAGAACCCUAAUCUAUAAGAAGAAGAAGAAGCAUGCUUUGUUCGUGUGAGAAGAAGAAACAGAAAGGUAUUCAUCGAAAUUUUCACAGAUUCUUCAUUUGUAUUACGAUUUUCAUUCUUUUUCUAUCCUCUCAUUUUCGAUUUUCAACUUUUCCUUUCGAAGUAAACAGGGUAUUUGGAGAGAUUGAAUAGUAUGGCGAAAGUGAAACGAAGUUUAGAUUGUAAUGGUUCUAGGGUGUGAUUUUUAUUUUUGAAAAGUUUUGAUUUUUUUGAGGUUUUGGAUGUUUACACUGCAAAAAUUUUAUUUUUUGUUAUCUGGGUUGUUGCAUGUUUUGGAAAAGAGAGGAUUUUUGUUUGUUAACUUAAUUUGUUUUAUUUGUUUUAUAGAUUGUGUACUUGUGUGUUGGAAUAGAGAUUUUUGUAUGUUAAUUUUGUUUGUUUUUCUUUGUUUUAUGGAUUAUGUAUUUGAGGUGCAUGUGGAUAAUAAUGAUGGGAAGCUUGAAGAGAGUGGAGUUGAUAGAAGCUGCUUUGUUUUCACCUAAGCAGAUUUCCAACCCAGUUUUGUACAAGCUUGUUCAGGUAUAUAUCUCGUUACUCAUUGAUUUAGUGUGUCAAUGUAAUUUAGAUUUGAAUCACUGCCAUUAAUUAGAUAUAUAGUUACUACAAAAUUCAAACUCUUUACAGAGGUAAGAAGGCAUGUGGUUUCUUGUUUGAAUGAGGCAAAGGAAAGACAAGGAUUAGAUAUGCGAGUUUCUUCUCUGGUAUGUCAUAUGCUCAUGCUUUCAUACAAGUUUAAAAUUUAAAUAAGCAAAUGCAAUAUUGGUAUGCAUAAUUUCACACCUAAUAGGUUAAUGGCACUGAUUUUGCAACUUAAUGUACCCACUGAUUUUGUAAUAUUAUUUUAGGAUCUCAAACUACUUUUAACUUUCAUACCUUAGAUAGGAGGUUGUUAUGCAUAUUUUACUCAUAAGAGUGCUUAUUUGUUGCUUCUCUGUUAAUUUCGUGAAUCAAUCCAAUAUUUGAAUAGCAUCUUUUCAUAGAAAACAAACCAAAGUAUAUAUUAGAUUACAUCUAGUAUAGAAUCUAUCUAAUACUUGACCGGUUAUGGUGCCAAAGUCAUCCUUUCAAGCCAUCUAGUAUAGAAUCUAUCUCUAUGUAUCGAUUUCAUGUAUUUUUAGUUUCUGGUUGUGUCUUAUUUUGAUCUUUGGAUUAUAUUCUUGCCAUUGGUGGCUUUGAUUUGGAGAGGUACAUUUGUUCUUGUUUCUUAUUUUUCAAUUGUUUUAGAAAAAAGGAAUUAUUAGUGUAGGCACAAUGAGUUUUGUUUUAAUCUUGUCGAUCCUGCAAAUUGGUACAUAUACUUGAUUUAUUUUCAUUUUUUUUGUUGACCAUAUACUGAAAUCAUUCUCAUUUCCUACCAAAUACAUUUAAAAACUUUUGGUGUCUUUCUCUUCUUAAUGUGUCUAAUUGUCUAGUUUUUUUAAAAAAAUUUACAACUCACUCUUCUAUCUAAGUGUUUAGUUUUUAUCUAAUCCUCUAAGUUGUACUCACAUUUUUCUUCCCUUGUCAAGUGCCUUGUUUUGUUGCCACUUACUGUCAUGAGCUUAAGUGGAUGGUUAAAUAUUUCUUCUUUAUUUAAUAUAUUGUUAUGCUCUCCCUGUCCAAACCUGAAUAUAUGAUUUAUGCAUGUCUUCUUGAUCUUUNNNNNNNNNNNNNNNNNNNNNNNNNNNNNNNNNNNNNNNNNNNNNNNNNNNNNNAGUUAUGAGCUCAUGACUCAUUGUAAACUUAUUUUCAUAUUCUUCUGGCUCUGUUUGGACCUUUUAAUAUGAUAUAAUUUUCAUAUUGUUCUCAUUAUUAUACUCCUUGUUUGUUUGUUUGUUUGGUUUUUUUUUGUUGAUAUGGUCAUUGUUCGUGGUCAUGGUAUGAUUGAACCUACCUAAUAGAGCUUAUUUGGAACAUCUUUGGGAUGAUUUCUCUGGGUUUUUGAGGAUUAAUUUUUUUUUUAUAAAAAAAGCAAAGACUCUUCAUUCAAACAGUCCUUAAACAGAAAUAAUCAUGUCUACCACAGAAACAUGUUCCAAUUUUUGAACACAAAAUAAGUAAUAUGUGACUACAAUGAGAGAUACUCUUAGCAUCGCAUGUCUUUGAUUUAAGCAACUGUCAUGUUAAUUUAGAAUGUGUGGCUUAACUUGAGUGUAUUGUCCGAAAACAGGUUGAUGUGAGAUUUAGGAGGAGGGUGUAUGAGCUUAUGUCCCUUUCAAAUAAUAUGUGGAAUUUUAGAAGUAUGAGGGUGUCAAGUGAAUGAGUGGUAAAAAGCUUAAUUUUUGUGUGAAUAUAUUUUUUUGCUCAAGUUUAAAUGAUUAAGAAUGGUUUAAUAAACUCACUUUCCUUUAUUGGUGGUGUAGGCUUCAUUGGUAGUGUAUGCUCUUCUUAAAUCCUGUUGCUCCUUCCUUCCUUUGCAGGUAAACAUCUUCUAGUCCAAUCCUAAAAGAAAUUUUUUGGCACACAUUUGAAUUUUUUUUUUAGUUAUGUUCAUAAAUUACAAAAAUAAACCAUAAAUUUACUUACCUAUUAGAGAAUAUCAGGGAGUUAUAAAUGUAGAAGCAACACAUGCAUCUAUGAAAUUUGAGUUUCCACUUUGUUAACAUUCUUGAUUGAUAUGUAUGUCAAUGUUUCUAAGGAACAAAUAAUAACUAAUUGGAAACUUCUAUGAACUUUGUAUGGUUGUGCAUCUCAAUGNNNNNNNNNNNNAUGUUUUCAUUGUCUAUUUGCAGAAAAGUAAUUGUUAAUAGAUUGCACCACAAAUUAUUUGGUAUGACUCAAAUUCUUUUACUAAUGACAUAUUCAUGUAAUACCAAAUUAAAUUUGAUAGAAAAUCAUUUCUUUACCUUUGUGAAACACAAGUAAGAUCCUUGAAAGAAGUGAGGCUCACCUAUAAAAAAAAAUCAAAGAACAAAAAUUACAAAAUUUAAGUCUCAAACAAAGUAACAUAAUAAAUUGGAUUUGGAUCCUCUCCUUUUAUUGUUCUUAGCCUCAUGCUUUGUUCAUAUAUUCAUGCUCCACUAAAAGAUUGACUGUGAAUGGAGAUCUAAUUAAAUGAUUUUAGCAUUUUCAGGCUCAAGAAAUCAAUGUAAACAAACAAAAACGAAAUGAAGAUUGGUCAUGUUAUGGCUGUUUAGUGGUAAAGGAAGCUGAAUGAAGGGAUGGUUGUUUAGUGCUGAAGGAAGAUGAAUGAAGAGAAGACUAUAUAUUGUUAAAAUUUUGUUCUAAUAAUACCAAAUUGUCCUUCUACUUGGUCUCCAAGAUUUGUUGUUAUUAGUAUAAAUGUGUAAUAAGAUGGGGAGGAGCGUCAAGAGACUUUUGUUCCAAUCCAAACUCUUGGCAUUACACAUAAAGACAAAAUUUGUAAGGAUAAUAAUAUAAAAUCAUUUAGAAGAAGUACAACAAAACACUAGACAUGAGCUGACAUUGUGAGGAUAAACAAGUAAAACAAAAGUGAUAAAAAUAAAAGUGGGAGUUUUGUUGUAACAAAAAUAAACGAAAAUGAAAAAUUAAUAGGGGCUAUCUAGGUAGUGGGGUCCACUCCAAAGUGGGACACUCCCUAUAAAAAACUUUUUCCCAAAUUUGAAAGCUAACUUUGGAUGUGGCUUCAUUUGGAGUAAAAUAGCAAUCACUUAUGCCACCACGUGUCAACAAUUUCAAUGAACAGUGCUUUUAAGGCACUAAGCAGUUUUCCUCUAUUAUAAGGGUUUUUGAUUAUAUGAUAUAUUUGAUUCAAUAAAAAUAAAUAAAUUCAUGAUAUAUGUUGCAAUAUGUAAUGUACUUUUUCAGGUCU
rnacentral:lncRNA from 1 species